rnacentral:misc_RNA from 1 species
UUUAGUUGCAGUACUAACAUUAUCAAAUCCGCGUAUUAAUUUUUCUGCUUGGCAGGAAGAAACUUUUUUAGUAGUAGUUCAUGUAUGCGGCAUAUUGAGAUAACUUCUGUAAAUCAGUGUCGUGUUCGUAAUGAGCUGUAUAUAUGUAUUCUAGAAAAGGAAGUCUACGCAGAUUUGAUAAUGUUAGUACUGCAACUAAA